rnacentral:rRNA from 1 species
UGGCGGUGCGCCUUAUGCAUGCAAGUCGAGCGAAGCUUUUCAGUAGUUUACUACAGAAAAUGACUGAGCGGCGAACGGGUGAGUAACGCGUGAGCAAUCUACCUUAGUUACAGGGAUAGCCCGAGGAAACUCGGAUUAAUACCUGAUAUUCUUUACAUUUCGCAUGAAAUCAAAAGGAAAGGUCAGCCGAACUAAGAUGAGCUCGCGUUCUAUCAGCUAGUUGGUGAGGUAAAAGCUCACCAAGGCAACGACGGAUAGCUGGUCUGAGAGGACGAUCAGCCACACUGGGACUGAGACACGGCCCAGACUCCUACGGGAGGCUGCAGCAGGGAAUAUUGCGCAAUGAGCGAAAGCUUGACGCAGCGACACCGCGUGUGGGAUGACGGAUCUAGGUUUGUAAACCACUUUCAGGAGGGAAGAAAAUGACGGUACCUCCACAAGAAGCCCCGGCCAACUACGUGCCAGCAGCCGCGGUAAUACGUAUGGGGCGAGCGUUGUCCGGAUUUAUUGGGCGUAAAGAGCUCGUA